rnacentral:lncRNA from 1 species
CUAACUUUUAAAAAGAGUGAAUAUAUCUCUUAGGUUUUGUUUUGUAUUAGUCAGUUUUCACACUGCUGUAAAGACACUACCUGAGACUAGGUGAAUUAUAAAGGAAAGAGGUUUAAUUGACUCACAGCUCUGCAUGGCUGGGGAGGCCUCAGGAAACUUACGAUCAUGGCAGAAGCGGAAGUAGGCAUGUCUUACACGGCGGCAGGAGAGAGAGGAGAAAGCAAAAGGGGAAGAGCCCCUUAUAAAACCAUCAGAUCUCAUGAGAAUUCACUCACUAUCACAAGAACAGCAUGGGGGAAACCACCCCCAUGAUCCAAUCCCUCCUUCAACACGUGGGGAUUAUAGGUCCCCCACUCCACACGUGAGGGUUACAAUUCAAGCUGAGAUUUGGGUGGGGACACAAAGCCAAACCAUAUCAGUUGUACAAAAAGGCAGCAAAAUAACAAUUACCUCUAAAGUGAAAUAAAGAAACAAAAGGCUACUUCGUGAUGUUAGAAUAUUAAAAACACGAUUCUCACAAAAAUAUAUGUCAAAGAUUUAUGUAACUCAUUCAUGAGAAAACAAGCAGGUAAAACUAGUUCAAAGGAGGAUACAGUGGACUGAGUUAUAUAUGUACAUUUUUCUGUAUGUCCAUUUCAGGAAAAGGAAGUCUACUGGAAUAAGAUUGCAGUUAGAUUAACGCCUGGUAAUAAAUAGGGCAAUAAAACUGUAAUUUUUGGAGCUGUCUCUACUAUAGGGCAGAAAUCAUUUGCAACUUACUGAUAUUCUACUCAGCAUUAUCCACCUUCCCAGAGUCUGGGCCCUAACAGAAUAAUAGCAUGUCAAACAAAAUCACACCCCUCUAGAAAGUCAAAUAACCUUGUGGUUUUGCAGACCAUGCCCUAGUAUGUCUUUAAAUGGGACAAACCUUUUUGCUUUAUUUCUACACUUUGGAUAAUUUUACUUAAUGGUAGUAGAGGUUUUUUUGUUUUUGUCUGUUUUUUUUUUCCUUUAUAAUCUGUAAACUACAACUCUGUGACUUGGGAACCAAACGAGGUAAGGAAUAUUUGGAACCAUCUGGGGAGUCAUAAACACAAAGUUUUACAAGGCAUCUUCACAUAUGGUCUUAUUUGAUUCUGACCCCAGCUUCCUGAGAUGUUCAGGUAUGAUCCCUAUUUUCACAAAUAAGAAAAGAGAGGUACCUAAAGAUUGUGACUUGCCCACAUUCCUGGUCAGAACCAGGGCCAAUCUACAAAGCCAGAUCUUCUGAAAACACACACCAAGGGCUUUCACUGUGGUGCUGCUCUCAACAACCCCUCACAUCGUAGAGAAGCUUAUGGUUUAAAAAGCCCUUGGCAGGCUGGGUGCAGUGGCUCACGCCCGUAAUCCCAGAACGUUGGGAGGCCGAGGCAGGUGGAUCAUAAGGUCAGGAGAUCAAGACCAUCCUGGCUAACACGGUGAAACCCCGUCCCUACUAAAAAUACAAAAAAUUAGCCGAGCGUGGUGGGGGGCGCCUAUAGUCCCAGCUACUCGGGAGGCUGAGGCAGGAGAAUGGUGUGAACCCGGGAGGCGGAGGAUGCAAUGAGCCAAGAUCAUGCCACUGCACUCCAGCCUAGGUGACAGAGCAAGACUCCGUCUCAAAAAAAAAAAAAAAAACCAAAAAAAACUUUGACAAAUUGAGGGCGCAUGAAGCAGGUGGUUUUGUUUUACAGACGGGAAAAAUGAGGACCAUGAUCACCUGCCUAGCAAGUGACAGAAGCCAAAUCAUGUCCAAGUUCCCCAACAAGUCAAAGGCUAGUUCCUCCACAAAACAAUCACCUGGAGUUAAUCCACUUUGUCCCUCGGCACUGACCCAAAUUUCAUCUCUGGACACCAAGACCACCAAACAACUUGAAUCCCCCACUUCUCUGCUGGACCUCCACCUAUCAGGCCAGAAAUGACUACAAGGAGCCUGCAAACCCAACCUUAGCCGAAGCACCAGCUGCCAAGGGAAUGAAGGCUCAUGUUUUGACUAUUUUUCAAAUGUACAUUGCUGACGUUUAAAAUUGUAAAUAUAUUUUAAAGUGGUAAUGAAUUUAUGGGUGUUCUUAUGUGACUUCUUAGCCAAUAUAUGUUUAAAAGUGUAACUGUGACUAUGUGUAGGGGCAGAAGCUGCUGAAAUGUUUUAUGGGAAAAUCUCAAGGAGGGGAACCUAACGCUCACAAAGACACAGUGAAGUAUGAUUAUCUUCAUUUUAAAAAUGAUGAAAAUGAAGCAGAGAGGAUAUGUAACUUACAAAGAUCAUCCAGCUACAGAGCCAAGCUUCAAAUGCAGUUCCAGGCCUGUGCUCCCAACCACUAUUUUAUAUUCCCUUUAAUUUUACCUGAUUUUCAUUUUCCAAAAGGGUGUGACUUAUAGACAAGUAUGCUGCAGAAAACACCUCAUCCUAACCCUGAUCAUCUGUAGGAGGGUCCAGCAAUAAAGAAAACUUUUGAGGGUUGAAAAGCUACUAUAGAAAAGCAAACCAGAGAAACAUUUGAGAGAGGAAAAGAUGAACUGUAUUUUACCAACUGUUAACACUUUGACUCUAAGACGUACCAUUAUUUUAUCUAUCACUCAGAAAAAAAGCUGCCUAUCAACGGUCAUGCUAAUAUGCCACUGACUAUAAGUGACACCCGGAAAGAUUUGUUAAAUGCAAAAUAAAAAUGUACAUUUUUAGAAUUGAUGAAAUAUAGUAACACGCAGGCAGGCAGCCCAGGCCAUGGUCUAAGUUUGAGAUCCCAGAAGAAGUGAGAGCAUCUUUCACGAUUUUUCUUCCGGAAACUGACUUGAUGUUGUUACAUUCAACAGUAGGCAGCAGAUGUUUUAGCCAGAGAACUGUAAGUGCUCUGGUUUCAGUCUCAUGCCAGUUCCUGAUAUGGUGCUACUCUUAGUAUUAAGAGUACAGAGGCUGCAGUCACAUGCCACUGGUCAAGG